rnacentral:rRNA from 1 species
CCUACGGGUGGCAGCAGUGAGGAAUAUUGGUCAAUGGGCGAGAGCCUGAACCAGCCAAGUCGCGUGAAGGAUGACGGCCCUACGGGUUGUAAACUUCUUUUAUAUGGGAAUAAAAUGUUCCACGUGUGGGAUUUUGUAUGUACCAUAUGAAUAAGGAUCGGCUAACUCCGUGCCAGCAGCCGCGGUAAUACGGAGGAUCCGAGCGUUAUCCGGAUUUAUUGGGUUUAAAGGGAGCGUAGGUGGAUUGUUAAGUCAGUUGUGAAAGUUUGCGGCUCAACCGUAAAAUUGCAGUUGAAACUGGCAGUCUUGAGUACAGUAGAGGUGGGCGGAAUUCGUGGUGUAGCGGUGAAAUGCUUAGAUAUCACGAAGAACUCCGAUUGCGAAGGCAGCUCACUGGACUGCAACUGACACUGAGGCUCGAAAGUGUGGGUAUCAAACAGGAUUAGAUACCCGGGUAGUC